rnacentral:rRNA from 1 species
AAGAGAUGGCGACCGGCGCACGGGUGAGUAACACGUAUCCAACCUGCCGAUAACUCCGGAAUAGCCUUUCGAAAGAAAGAUUAAUACCGGAUGGCAUACGAAUAUCGCAUGAUAUUUUUAUUAAAGAAUUUCGGUUAUCGAUGGGGAUACGUUCCAUUAGUUUGUUGGCGGGGUAACGGCCCACCAAGACUACGAUGGAUAGGGGUUCUGAGAGGAAGGUCCCCCACAUUGGAACUGAGACACGGUCCAA